AGUGAACGCUGGCGGUAGGCCUAACACAUGCAAGUCGAACGGCAGCACAGUAAGAGCUUGCUCUUACGGGUGGCGAGUGGCGGACGGGUGAGGAGUACAUCGGAAUCUACUUUUUCGUGGAGGAUAACGUAGGGAAACUUACGCUAAUACCGCAUACGACCUACGGGUGAAAGCAGUGGAUCUUCGGACCUUGCGCGAUUGAAUGAGCCGAUGUCGGAGUAGCUAGUUGGCGGGGUAAAGGCCCACCAAGGCGACGAUCCGUAGCUGGUCUGAGAGGAUGAUCAGCCACACUGGAACUGAGACACGGUCCAGACUCCUGCGGGAGGCAGCAGUGGGGAAUAUUGGACAAUGGGCGCAAGCCUGGUCCAGCCAUACCGCGUGGGUGAAGAAGGCCUUCGGGUUGUAAAGCCCUUUUGUUGGGAAAGAAAAGCAGCAGGUUAAUACCACGCUGUUCUGACGGUACCCAAAGAAUAAGCACCGGCUAACUUCGUG
rnacentral:rRNA from 1 species